CUUCAUUCCACCAUGCAGACGACCAGGAGAACCGCACCUACUAGCUAGGUCACUUUCCCGCCAAUUCUACCGGAUGAGCUUCGAUUUAUGGACAGUGGCUGCCCGAGAAGUAGGCCUACUAUACGACACCUUCAAAACACGAUUGAGUAGUGCGUUUGUUCGGCCGCACAUCAUCGACG